rnacentral:rRNA from 1 species
UACAGAGGUGGCAAGCGUUGUUCGGAUUUACUGGGCGUAAAGAGUGCGUAGGUGGUGAGGUAAGACCUGUGGGAAAGACCUGGGCUUAACCCAGGAAGGGCGCAAGUGACUGCCUCGCUUGAGGACGGGAGAGGAGAGCGGAAUUCCCGGUGUAGCGGUGAAAUGCGUAGAGAUCGGGAAGAAGGCCGGUGGCGAAGGCGGCUCUCUGGAACGUUCCUGACACUGAGGCACGAAAGCGUGGGGAGCAAACAGG